rnacentral:rRNA from 1 species
UGAAUACGAGAUGCUACGGCGUCGAAGCAGUCUAUGUCAUACUUCCAAGAAAAGCUCGCACUGUCAUAAACAAAUAAUGCCUGUACCAUAACCGACACAGGUGGGUAGGUAGAGUAUACUAAGGGGCGCGAGAUAACUCUCUCUAAGGAACUCGGCAAAAUGACUCCGUAACUUCGGGAGAAGGAGUGCCUUAUUUAUAAGGUUGCAAUAACAAGAUCCAAGCAACUGUUUAUCAAAAACACAGGUCUCCGCUAAGUCGUAAGACGAUGUAUGGGGGCUGACGCCUGCCCAGUGCCAGAAGGUUAAAGAAGUUGGUUAGCAUUCGCGAAGCUGAUAACUGAAGCCCUGGUGAACGGCGGCCGUAACGAUAACGGUCCUAAGGUAGCGAAAUUCCUUGUCGGGUAAGUUCCGACCCGCACGAAAGGCGUAAUGAUUUGGAUACUGUCUCGGAGAGGGGCUCGGUGAAAUAGACUUGUCUGUGAAGAUGCGGACUACCUGCACCAGGACAGAAAGACCCUAUGAAGCUUUACUGUAACUUGAGAUUGAAAUUGGACUUUACUUGCGCAGUAUAGGUGGGAGGCGUUGAUAAUAUUCUUGCGGGAUUAUUUGAGCCAUCAGUGAGAUACCACUCUUGUAAUGUUAGAUUUCUAACUUUGUAUCAUUAUCUGGUCAAAGGACAGUUUCAGGCGGGCAGUUUGACUGGGGCGGUCGCCUCCUAAACGGUAACGGAGGCGCACAAAGGUUUCCUCUGAACGGGUAGAAAUCGUAUCUAGAGUGUAAAGGCAUAAGGAAGCUUGACUGUGAGACCUACAAGUCGAGCAGGGACGAAAGUCGGUCUUAGUGAUCUGACGGUCUGAGUGGAAAGGCCGUCACUCAACGGAUAAAAGUUACUCUAAGGAUAACAGGCUGAUCUCCCCCAAGAGUUCACAUCGACGGGGAGGUUUGGCACCUCGAUGUCGGCUCAUCGCAUCCUGGGGCAGUAGUACGUCCAAGGGUUGGGCUGUUCGCCCAUGAAAGCGGUACGCGAGCUGGGUUCAGAACGUCGUGAGACAGUUCGGUCCAUAUCCGGUGUAGGCGUUAGAAUAUUGAGAGGAGCCUUCUUUAGUACGAGAGGACCGAGAAGGACAUACCUCUGGUGUACCAGUUAUCGUGCCAACGGUAAACGCUGGGUAGCUAUGUAUGGAGUGGAUAACCGCUGAAAGCAUCUAAGUGGGAAGCCCACCUCAAGAUAAGUAUUCUCA